rnacentral:misc_RNA from 1 species
AACCAUCAAAACCCUUUUCCUUUUGGAAAAGGAUUUUGGACUUGGAGGUUUGAUGCUUGCUUUCACUUUUGAAAGUGAGCUCCUCUCAAAUGAAUUAGUGGGGUUUGCUUUGUCAAUCCUUGACGUGAUAAGAUGUUUUUACGUUUUUGAUUUGGCACUGUGCCCACCUCUAAACCGUCUCAUGGACAACGAUGGUGCUUCGGUCACUGCCCAUCCACAUUGGCAGAAGGCUGGACCCACGAAAAAUC